AGCUCCAAUAGCGUAUAUUAAAGUUGUUGCGGUUAAAAGCUCGUAGUUGGAUUUCUGUUGAAACAACCGGUCCGGCUUAAGGCCGUGUAUCUGGUCUGGUUUCGGCAUCCGGAAGUUUAAGGUGCGUCGCUUUACUGCGAUGUCCGUAGGCUUCUCUUUUACUUUGAGGAAAUUAGAGUGUUCACAGCAGGCAAUCGCCGUGAAUACGUUAGCAUGGAAUAAUAAUAUAGGACCUUGGUUCUAUUUUGUUGGUUUCUAGAGCUAAGGUAAUGAUUAAUAGGAACAAUUGGGGGCAUUCGUAUUAUCACGUCAGAGGUGGAAUUCUUGGAUUGUGGUACGACGAACUACUGCGAAAGCAUUUGCCAAGGAUGUUUUCA
rnacentral:rRNA from 1 species